GUUCAAGUCGCAGCAACCACAUGCAGCUCACAACUGUCACUCCUGUUCCAGGGGAUCCGACAGCCUCAUGCCAUAAGGAACUGUUCCGGUUCCAGCAGUUUGGUGCCCAAACGUGAGAUACGGGGAAGGAGUGAAGGACACUGCAGUGUUGGUGAGCCCGGAUCAUAGAGAGAAAAGGGCACGGAUGCUGAAGGAGCCCGGUGGAUCCCACAAAGGUUGGUGCAAUUUG